CGUUGGCCCAAUUGAUUGAUGGUGCUUGCACCUGAUUGAUUUUGGUCGCCAACGAGUGGCGGACGGGUGAGUAACACGUAGGUAACCUGCCCAGAAGCGGGGGACAACAUUUGGAAACAGAUGCUAAUACCGCAUAACAGCGUUGUUCGCAUGAACAACGCUUAAAAGAUGGCUUCUCGCUAUCACUUCUGGAUGGACCUGCGGUGCAUUAGCUUGUUGGUGGGGUAACGGCCUACCAAGGCGAUGAUGCAUAGCCGAGUUGAGAGACUGAUCGGCCACAAUGGGACUGAGACACGGCCCAUACUCCUACGGGAGGCAGCAGUAGGGAAUCUUCCACAAUGGGCGCAAGCCUGAUGGAGCAACACCGCGUGAGUGAAGAAGGGUUUCGGCUCGUAAAGCUCUGUUGUUAAAGAAGAACACGUAUGAGAGUAACUGUUCAUACGUUGACGGUAUUUAACCAGAAAGUCACGGCUAACUACGUGCCAGCAGCCGCGGUAAUACGUAGGUGGCAAGCGUUAUCCGGAUUUAUUGGGCGUAAAGAGAGUGCAGGCGGUUUUCUAAGUCUGAUGUGAAAGCCUUCGGCUUAACCGGGAGAAGUGCAUCGGAAACUGGAUAACUUGAGUGCAGAAGAGGGUAGUGGAACUCCAUGUGUAGCGGUGGAAUGCGUAGAUAUAUGGAAGAACACCAGUGGCGAAGGCGGCUACCUGGUCUGCAACUGACGCUGAGACUCGAAAGCAUGGGUAGCGAACAGGAUUAGAUACCCUGGUAGUCCAUGCCGUAAACGAUGAGUGCUAGGUGUUGGAGGGUUUCCGCCCUUCAGUGCCGGAGCUAACGCAUUAAGCACUCCGCCUGGGGAGUACGACCGCAAGGUUGAAACUCAAAGGAAUUGACGGGGGCCCGCACAAGCGGUGGAGCAUGUGGUUUAAUUCGAAGCUACGCGAAGAACCUUACCAGGUCUUGACAUCUUGCGCCAACCCUAGAGAUAGGGCGUUUCCUUCGGGAACGCAAUGACAGGUGGUGCAUGGUCGUCGUCAGCUCGUGUCGUGAGAUGUUGGGUUAAGUCCCGCAACGAGCGCAACCCUUGUUACUAGUUGCCAGCAUUAAGUUGGGCACUCUAGUGAGACUGCCGGUGACAAACCGGAGGAAGGUGGGGACGACGUCAGAUCAUCAUGCCCCUUAUGACCUGGGCUACACACGUGCUACAAUGGACGGUACAACGAGUCGCGAACUCGCGAGGGCAAGCAAAUCUCUUAAAACCGUUCUCAGUUCGGACUGCAGGCUGCAACUCGCCUGCACGAAGUCGGAAUCGCUAGUAAUCGCGGAUCAGCAUGCCGCGGUGAAUACGUUCCCGGGCCUUGUACACACCGCCCGUCACACCAUGAGAGUUUGUAACACCCAAAGUCGGUGGGGUAACCUUUUAGGAGCCAGCCG
rnacentral:rRNA from 1 species